GCAUUGGUGGUUUAGUGGUAAAAUUAGCCGUUGCCAUCGCAGUCUCCUGCUUUGUCGGCUAGCCCCGGGUUCGAUUCCCGGCCGAUGCA
rnacentral:tRNA from 1 species